UUUCAGCAGGAUCAGGGACAGCAAGACCUGAGCUGUAGGGUUGGCAACCCAGGUGGCAAACUUCCCAAAGUCUCAUAGUUGGUUCAGGCAUGGAACAGCUUGGAAAUUCACUUCUGGAUCCUGAUCUGAGCUCCAGCUAGCUCUUGACACCACACCAAGCGACUGAAGAGCUGAUCAAAAAGGAGAGCCUGGCUGAAGAGCAACCAGCCUGUGUGUGUCAGAGACACCCCUUGGGAGAACAAGCCUGGCGCCAAACUUGACAGCUAGAGUCCACACGCAGUCAAUAGGAGCAAUGGGCACUCAGCACCUCAGUGAACGAACUGCACCUUUCAGGAUUGAGCCUCUAAGCCCGAGCCAAAGAAGUCACUGUUCUUUAUUGAUAUAAAAACCUGAAGGUGGCUGAAGAGAAACGUAGAAACCUCUUAAAGGUGGAAAUACCUGCAGGUGCGGCACUAUUCUGGAUAACACCCUUAACUCACAGGUAUUAUU